UACGUAGGGUGCAAGCGUUAAUCGGAAUUACUGGGCGUAAAGCGUGCGCAGGCGGUUCUGUAAGACAGAUGUGAAAUACCCGGGCUCAACCUGGGAAUUGCAUUUGUGACUGCAGGACUAGAGUUCAUCAGAGGGGGGUGGAAUUCCAAGUGUAGCAGUGAAAUGCGUAGAUAUUUGGAAGAACACCAAUGGCGAAGGCAGCCCCCUGGGAUGCGACUGACGCUCAUGCACGAAAGCGUGGGGAGCAAACA
rnacentral:rRNA from 1 species